GAGGGUAUAGCUGAUUGGUAGAGUGUGUGCUCAGCAUGCACAGGUCCUGGGUUCAAUUCCCAGUACCUAUA
rnacentral:tRNA from 1 species